rnacentral:rRNA from 1 species
AACGAACGCUGGCGGCACGCCUAACACAUGCAAGUCGAACGAGAAGCACCUUCGGGUGUGGAAAGUGGCGGACGGGUGAGUAACACGUGGGAACAUGCCUUUUGGUACGGAACAACCAUUGGAAACGAUGGCUAAUACCGUAUAAGCCCUUAGGGGGAAAGAUUUAUCGCCGAAAGAUUGGCCCGCGCUAGAUUAGUUAGUUGGUGAGGUAAAAGCUCACCAAGGCGACGAUCUAUAGCUGGUUUGAGAGGAUGAUCAGCCACACUGGGACUGAGACACGGCCCAGACUCCUACGGGAGGCAGCAGUGGGGAAUAUUGGACAAUGGGGGCAACCCUGAUCCAGCGAUGCCGCGUGAGUGAUGAAGGCCUUAGGGUUGUAAAACUCUUUCAGGGGUGAAGAUAAUGACGGUAACCCCAGAAGAAGCUCCGGCUAACUCCGUGCCAGCAGCCGCGGUAAUACGGAGGGAGCUAGCGUUGUUCGGAAUUACUGGGCGUAAAGCGCGCGUAGGCGGCUUGGCAAGUAGAGGGUGAAAUCCCAGGGCUUAACCCU